GGGCCCGUGGUGUAACUGGAAGCACACUCGUCCUGCAAGCGUGUGGUCGCGGUCCAAAUCCGCGCGGGUCCA
rnacentral:tRNA from 1 species